AUUGAACGCUGGCGGCAUGCUUUACACAUGCAGGUCGAACGGCAGCGCGGGAUUCGGCCUGGCGGCGAGUGGGGAACGGGUGAGUAAUGCAUCGGAACGUGCCCAGUAGUGGGGGAUGGCCCGGCUAAGGCCGGAUUAAUCCCGCAUACGACCUUAUGGUGAAAGCGGGGGACCGAAAGGCCUCGCGCUAUUGGAGCGGACGAUGUCGGAUUAGCUAGUUGGUUGGGUAAAGGCUUACCAAGGCGACGAUCCGUAGCUGGUCUGAGAGGACGACCAGCCACACUGGGACUGAGACACGGCCCAGACUCCUACGGGAGGCAGCAGUGGGGAAUUUUGGACAAUGGGGGCAAGCCUGACGCAGCCAUGCCGCGUGCGGGAAGAAGGUCUUCGGGUUGUAAACCGCUUUUGUUCGGGAAGAAAUCCUCUGGGCUAAUACCCCGGGGGGAUGACGGUACCGGAAGAAUAAGCACCGGCUAACUACGUG
rnacentral:rRNA from 1 species